rnacentral:rRNA from 1 species
ACAUAUCAUUAAGCGGAGGAAAAGAAACCAACAGGGAUUGCCCCAGUAACGGCGAAGUGAAGCGGCAAGAGCUCAAAUUUGAAAGCUGGCUCCUUCGGGGUCCGCAUUGUAAUUUGUAGAGGAUGCUUCGGGAGCGGUCCCCAUCUAAGUGCCCUGGAACGGGACGUCAUAGAGGGUGAGAAUCCCGUAUGGGAUGGGGUGUCCGCGCCCGUGUGAAGCUCCUUCGACGAGUCGAGUUGUUUGGGAAUGCAGCUCUAAAUGGGUGGUAAAUUUCAUCUAAAGCUAAAUAUUGGCCGGAGACCGAUAGCGCACAAGUAGAGUGAUCGAAAGAUGAAAAGCACUUUGAAAAGAGAGUUAAAAAGCACGUGAAAUUGUUGAAAGGGAAGCGCUUGCGACCAGACUCGCUCGCGGGGUUCAGCCGGCAUUCGUGCCGGUGUACUUCCCCGCGGGCGGGCCAGCGUCGGUUUGGGCGGUCGGUCAAAGGCCCUCGGAAGGUAACGCCCCUAGGGGCGUCUUAUAGCCGAGGGUGCAAUGCGACCUGCCUAGACCGAGGAACGCGCUUCGGCUCGGACGCUGGCAUAAUGGUCGUAAACGACCCGUCUUGAAACACGGACCAAGGAGUCUAACAUCUACGCGAGUGUUCGGGUGUCAAACCCGUGCGCGAAGUGAAAGCGAACGGAGGUGGGAACCCUCACGGGUGCACCAUCGACCGAUCCUGAAGUCUUCGGAUGGAUUUGAGUAAGAGCGUAGCUGUUGGGACCCGAAAGAUGGUGAACUAUGCCUGAAUAGGGCGAAGCCAGAGGAAACUCUGGUGGAGGCUCGUAGCGGUUCUGACGUGCAAAUCGAUUCGUCGAAAUUUGGGGUAUAGGGGCGAAAGACUAAUCGAACCAUCUGGUAGCUGGUUCCUGCG